CCCUGGCUUCUGAGCUCAGCCCUCAAUGCUUCUCUCCUUAGGCCACUCCCAGGUCCAGCGCACAGUACCGCAGAGCAGCUGUCUUUCCUCACUCAGACUGGGAGCUCCUGUGAUCUUAUUUCCCUCAAUCUCCAGGGGAGCAUGGGCCCGUGACAUGGCAGAAAUCAGAGAAAUACUUGUUCCACGUAUUUAUACUUGUUUGUGAGUGGGCUCUUCCAGCAGCUGUGUUGCACAAACGGUAGAGAAGAGGAACUCUGCAUAGCUGGGUGCUGGAGAUGGAGGGGAGGAAGAUCCCUGUCACCUAAGAACUGGCUUUCUGGGAGCGGGACACACACAUAGACCUUCCGCUGCAUUUCAGAGUGAUAUGUGAUAUGGCAGAGGGACGCAUGGCACCCAGCCCAGGAUCUGGGAAGAAGGGGACUGGGAAGUCUUGGAAGGAAAAACACUAAAAACAUUUGAAUUGAGUCUUGAGAGUCGAGGUAAGGUCUUGUUCAGUGAAAAGUGCACGCGCAGAGGCAGGAAAGCAAGCUGCUUAGGAAGCCAAGUUCACAGUUUGGAGCAUGUGGGCAAAUAAGGGGCCAGAGUGCAAGGGAAAGGUUGUAUUUUGAAAGGUACUAUAAAGAGCG